GACGAACGCUGGCGGCGUGCUUAACACAUGCAAGUGGAGCGACGAACCAGGGCUUGCCCUGGGGCAGAGCCGCGAACGGGUGAGUAACACGUGGGUAACGCACCCCGAUGACCGGGACAACCCGAGGAAACUCGGGCUAAUACCGGAUGAGCUCUUCUUCCGUGAGGAAGUUGAGGAAAGAUAGCUUCGGCCUUCGCAUCGGGACCGGCCCGCGGCCCAUUAGCUUGUUGGGGAGGUAACGGCUCACCAAGGCUGCGAUGGGUAGCUGGUCUGAGAGGACGAUCAGCCACACUGGGACUGAGACACGGCCCAGACUCCUACGGGAGGCAGCAGUGGGGAAUCUUGCGCAAUGCGCGAAAGCGUGACGCAGCAACGCCGCGUGGGUGAAGACGGCCUUCGGGUUGUAAAGCCCUUUCAGUUGGGACGAAGCUUCGCCGGUGAAUAGCCGGCUGGAGUGACGGUACCUUCAGAAGAAGCCCCGGCUAACUACGUGCCAGCCGCCGCAGUAAUAC
rnacentral:rRNA from 1 species